UAUAGUUUUGAUAUUUGAUGUUCUAAAAAAGGAUUAGUCUAUCUUAUUUCGCUUUUGUUAUACUUUAGAUAGUGUUUGAUAUUUCACAUUAACUAAUAUAAAUUUUAUUUUAAAAAAUAUAUGUAUUUUUUAUAAUUUUUUCUUGCAUAAAAGUUUUUAAAAAUAAAUUUGAUUUUUUUUGGAAAACUCAUUAGAGAAUAGUAUUAUAUUUUUCAUAAAUUUUAAAUAAUAUAAAAUUAUAUUUGAGAGUUAAAUUAGUAUUAUGGUAUUCUAUAAUUUUUUAAUUUGUAUGAACCAAACAAUGGAAUGAGAAUAACUCAUUUCAAUUUUCAAUCCACAAAUGAACCAAACGUCUUGAGGGAGUGGGCCAAUCCAAUUACAAUUUCAAUUCAUUCCCAUUUCAUUAUCCAUUCCAAUUCCACCCUUGAACCAAACAAGCCCUUAAUAUAAAGUUAACUAUAUUUGACGUAAAAUUCGGCUUGACUAUACAAUUGACAUGGUUAUAGAGCUACUCCGACUAUAUAUUGCACAAAACUUUAGAGGGAUGUUAUUGUUAGGAUUUGGUUAGAUUUGUAGUUGAAUCCUAUUUAGAUAAGAAUUAAUAUUUAAAUCUGUUGGAGAUAAAUUAAGAUUUAAAUAUUAAUUAGAGUAUAAAUCUAACUUAGAUUGAGAUUAAUAUUUAAAUCUAUUAGAGAUUAAUUAAAAUAGAUUUAGAUAUUAAUUAAAGUUGAAAUCCUAAUAAUACUAGGAUUUGGGUUACACUUUAUGUGGAUACUAUAUAUAUACAUAGGAUCAAGGAGUUAAUUAGCCUCGAGAUGGUACGGCCAGUUAAUUAAGGCUGGUGCUUCCGGGUAGUAGGCAGAACCUUGUGGGGUGCCGUAUCGGAGAGAGAAAAAGAGAGAGUUAAUGAGUUGAGUGCACCUUGUGCACGGGUGCACGCGGAGAGGUCUUUUUUUAUGGGUUUAUAGAAGACGAGAGAAAGGUAGAAGAGAUUCAAGAAAGAGGGCUCGGGUUGUAGCUACUCUGUGUAGAAGAGGAGUCAGGUGUAAUAUUUCUUAUUUAAUGAAUCUUAUUUUACCUGCAUAUUUUUCUCUUUUAUGAUUGUAUCAGUUUUUGCUGAGGAGACGGGUUUAUGGUAAAAAUCCGAUUUGAUGUUUCCGUUGCAGAAUACCAACCAUCGGUACCAGAUUCACAGCAGUCAGUAUCGAAGCGGGUUGUGGAUUCACAAGAUCCGGUACCGGGGCGAGUACCGGAUUCCCAACAGUUAUGACUAUAACCUGCACAUUUUGAUUUUAAUAUUAAAAAAAUCAAACUUCUCUAUAAAUAGUUAAAUAUUUGUUAAUUUCAACCUCACUCUCAUUCCUCUCUUCUUUAUACACUUUAAAAUAUACUCAUUUCUCUUCUACUUCUCCAAUUUUUACUACAUAUCUUAUUUAUAUAAUUUAAAGGGUUCCAAAUGUACUAGUUGCUCUAGAUUGGAUUCGUGAAGACCAUUUGUACUCCUUUGAAAUUUUCUAAACAAAUCUUUUCUACACAUUUUGGUGUUAUUUUGUUUGUAUGUUUUUUAAUUUCUACGUAUAAUUUAUCUUAUAUCAAUUUAUUUCACAAUAGAAAAUUUUCAUGUGGCGCAUCAACCAAUUCCAAUCUUCUUAUAUUUUGAUAGAAAUAUUGUGCAUGGUCCCGAAGGAGUUUAUUAUAAUGGUCUUGAUCCAAAAACUAUUUGGAUUUCUCGUACUUUAAGUUUAAAUGUAUUAAAACAUGAAAUUUAUAGGCAAACCAUUAUUUUGAUAUAAAAUUUAAU
rnacentral:lncRNA from 1 species